GGUGAAUGGACAUCCGACAAACAUCCUUGUGGUCCAUGUUGAUGUGGAACACGACAAUGUUGAUGAGUGCCAUGUAGCGACGGAUCAAACGGACACUCAUGUCAAGCUUGAUGAGGACACAGUCAAAGCUUUAAAAGACCUUGUGAUUAAGUCUUCAGUGUCUGAAUGGCAAGAAGAAGUGACCCUCCACUUAAACGUGACAUUUAAACUUCUCUGUGUUUUGGUUCAGCCAUUUGUAGGUUUAUCUCGAGUAAGUUCAAAUGCACUUCUGCAUUUGUCCAGUAACUUUUUGUUUAGAGAAUUACAUCAUUAUGAUUAUAUAAUUAUUCAAUGGUUGCAUAUUCAUAGUGUACUUUUCAUAUUGAUGUAUUAAUGUUCCACAAUUUGAUAAAAGUAGCUCAUUGCAUUUCACUGAUCUUUGUUUUAUAUUGUAAAAUCAUUUCAAUAGCAGUAAAUACAUACUUAGUUGUUUCUUUAACAUUUAAUUAGUUGUUAAUGAUGGAAGAAACCGGUUCGUAUGUAUGAAUACAGAAUAGGUAUCAUUUUAGAAUGAGUUAAAACAUGUUUUGGUGGCAAACAUGCAGGUAAAAUAGUACAUGUAUAACAUUCUAAUAGUAAACUUGACUGUAAUUCAAAUGUCACAUACAGUACAUUAGAAAUGAUUUAUUUUAUGUAUACAAAUGUGUGGGCAAUAUAUUAUUAUUUCAUUUUGUAUGCUAUAUUAUUUAUGUAAUAUUAUUAUAUCUGAAAUUAUUAAAUUACAUUUAUAAAUGUUUAAAAGGUGGGUUCAAAUGUGCUUCAAGUUGUAACUGAAUACAAUUUUAGAAAAUAGCACAGUUGAGUACACUUAGAUUGUCUUAAGUUUGUCUUAACAAGUACUAAAUACUACUUUUUAGUAUAUUAAGCACAAUUUACUGCACGAAAAUA